rfam:Ciona savignyi cont_65799, whole genome shotgun sequence.
CAAACGGCCCUUUUAAGGGCCACCCAAUUAAGAAAAAGAGAUCGAAU